GACGAACGCUGGCGGUGUGCUUCACACAUGCAAGUCGAACGAGGUAGCAAUACCUAGUGGCGGACGGGUGAGUAACGCGUGGGAAUCUGCCUUUAGAUGGGGGAUAACGGAUCGAAAGAUUCGCUAAUACCGCAUAUGACGAAAGUUGAAAGGAGUAAUCCGUCUAAAGAUGAGCCCGCGUCCGAUUAGCUAGUUGGUAGGGUAAAAGCCUACCAAGGCGACGAUCGGUAGCUGGUCUGAGAGGAUGAUCAGCCACAAUGGGACUGAGACACGGCCCAUACUCCUACGGAGGCAGCAGUGGGAUUUACGCAAUGGGGGAAACCCUGACGUAGCGACACCGCGUGAGCGAAGAAGCCCCUUGGGGUGUAAAGCUCUGUCAGCUGGAACGAAAAAAUGACGGUACCAGCAGAGGAAGCAUCGGCUAACUACGUG
rnacentral:rRNA from 1 species